AAAAUAUUGCUUCUUGGAGCUGCAUACACAUCCAAAGAGUGUGUGGUUACAACCUGCAAGCAACAAGCGAGGCUGGAAACAUAGCAAUAUGUUAUGGGAAUGAGUUAGACUUUGUUCAAAGGAUCCAAGGAACUGAACAGCUGCAUUUCAGGGCAUCUAACUUUAGCUGAUGUCAAUGGGAAUUGUGCAUUGACUGCAAUGGGAAGUGGUUUCAGCCAAUGUGACUACAAUAGGACUACUCACACUUCUGGAUGAUAUUAUACAAUUCAUGAAAUUACUGUGCCAUGGAAAGCCUCUAUGUAUGUGAAUCCAGUGUUGCUGACAGGACAUGCACAAGGCACACUCCAGACUGAGGACAACAGGAAGCAUCACCAGGAGAAACACAGAAAGAGAAAGCACUGGGAAGAAGAGAGCAAGGUCACACAUCUGGGGAAGAGACCUGCAUGAGGGAGAAUCAUCCUAGAAUGCAGAAGUUCGAUGAGGCAAAGGACCCUACCUGUCUUUCUGGACAAAGAUGU